GUAGGUGGCAAGCGUUGUCCGGAAUUAUUGGGCGUAAAGCGCGCGCAGGCGGUCCUUUAAGUCUGAUGUGAAAGCCCACGGCUCAACCGCGGAGGGUCAUUGGAAACUGGGGGACUUGAGUACAGAAGAGGAAAGCGGAAUUCCAAGUGUAGCGGUGAAAUGCGUAGAGAUUUGGAGGAACACCAGUGGCGAAGGCGGCUUUCUGGUCUGUAACUGACGCUGAGGCGCGAAAGCGUGGGGAGCAAACAGGAUUAGAUACCCUGGUAGUCCACGCCGUAAACGAUGAGUGCUAAGUGUUAGGGGGUUUCCCGCCCCCUUAGUGCUGCAGCUAACGCAUUAAGCACUCCGCCUGGGGGAGUACGGCCGCAAGGCUG
rnacentral:rRNA from 1 species